CUACGGGGUGCACCAGUGAGGAAUAUUGCACAAUGGGGGGGAACCCUGAUGCAGCAACGCCGCGUGGAGGAUGACACAUUUCGGUGUGUAAACUCCUUUUAUAUGUCAAGAAAAUGACGGUAGCAUAUGAAUAAGCACCGGCUAACUCCGUGCCAGCAGCCGCGGUAAUACGGAGGGUGCAAGCGUUACUCGGAAUCACUGGGCGUAAAGGACGCGUAGGCGGGUUGGAAAGUCAGGUGUGAAAUCCUACAGCUUAACUGUAGAACUGCACUUGAAACUUCUAAUCUAGAGUAUGGGAGGGGGAGAUGGAAUUAGUGGUGUAGGGGUAAAAUCCGUAGAUAUCACUAGGAAUACCUAAAGCGAAGGCGAUCUCCUGGAACAUUACUGACGCUAAGGCGUGAAAGCGUGGGGAGCAAACAGGAUUAGAUACCCCCGUAGUC
rnacentral:rRNA from 1 species